GGCAAUACACUAGAUGAGUUUUAUCAAACGACUGAAACUUUAGACACUGGGAAGCAUACUGCAUUUGUAAAGACCAAGGGAACAAGAGAAAGGCAAUGGAAGAUUAAUGUGUUAGCUGUUUAUCUGAGAUCAUCCCACGUAUUUGGCACAAUCCACGUCUGCAAGUCCUGUGAGGAAAGCAUUCCAACCAAAAAAGGGGUUUUGGAAAUGAAGGAAGGAACCUUGCUGUUGGGAGGAAAAACAACAGGGAAAAUCCCGUUUUUCGAGGAGAUCCACUUGUGCCAAAAACUCCUGAGAAGCAAGCACUGGAUUAAGGUUUGGAAAAGGAUCCAAAUGCACAGCCGCUGACCCCCAACAAUGAAGAACUGUAAGGUACGUACGCACAAUCCAGAAACCAAAGCCCGUUUCACGAGGAUCAUUUAAAACGCAAUCACAUGCAUAAUCGCAUUAAGAGCGAAUACUUCUAACACAUUUAUUCUUCAAAGCCAAUAUGCAUACACAAGACUCCAAUGUUUUAAUUUAUUAACCUUCACGGGGACUCAAAUUUGAAACAAAUAUUUAAUGUGCAAUCUAUCUUUUACAUAGAAAAACAUGAUGAGUGAGGUUUCUGAAAAGCUGUAUUUGGUGAACUGCAUGGACUGACGUUCUCGACUAAAGGCACUGGAUCUGUUCGGGUACCUCCCUCUCAUUUUGAGAACCACUUUCCAAUGACUCUCUUUAAAUUCUACUUUGUUCCUAUCAUGGAUGACUGCAUCCUGUGAUCUCACUCCACUUCUUAACCCUUUUAUUGCUGAACACAAUACAGCCAUCAUUUGGUGAUUUUCUGUAGAAGUGCCAGCACUCCGUUGGAACAAAUAUUUCAGAGGGAAUGUAUGAGGAUAUGUGUUGCAACAUUGGAAGUACAUUUUUGCUUCAUGCUCCUGGUAUGUUAGACGCAAUUCAGCUGGUUAAUACUAAGAUGCUCAAGUUACAAGGCAUUUUCCUGAUGCAAACCUAAACCUAUCAAUGGCUCGAGGCAUCACUGGUUCCAAAGGGUUAAUAACUAGAAACAUUUAAUAUAAAAUACAGUCCCAAUAGAGAGGCAACAACGAAACUGAAGCAGUAAAUCCCAGAUAAUAGCCACAUGAAGUCAGUACCUUGAUGUCUCUUUUUCUUUCCUAAUUUACUGACUGGAACUUGGUUUGGUAGUGAAGGCUGCACUUUAAGCAAAAACUCAGUAUAAACUGAUUGCUCUCUCCUUGUGUUCCCCUCCAUUUCAAAGCAGUUCUCUGAUGCCGAGGUAGCUGUGGGUUUUUUAAACUGGUAGCAUAGCGCAAAGGAUGAGUAAUUGCCACUGAAUCAGGUUUAUGUGCUGGGCAACUGGUAAUGUCUUCCCAAUGACUGUUCUUCUAACCUAAAUGGCUGAUCAAUUAGGGAUCAGAUAUGGAAAUACCAUGCAUUAAAAAAAAAA